AGUGGGAUAGCUGGGUCAAAUGGUGUUUCCAUUCCAAGUUUUCUAAGGAAUCUCCGUACUGCUUUCCAUAGUGGUUGCACCAGUUUUGCAGUCCCACCAGCAAU
rnacentral:pre_miRNA from 1 species